rnacentral:lncRNA from 1 species
ACGGUAUCGGAGGGGGUAAUUUUCGAAGAGUAAAACGCAGCAGAAUUAAAACACAGAGAGCGGAAAACGUGUUCGAUCACAAUUAAAAUUAAUUUGGUCCUUUUAGCAAAAAUAAUUUUCUUUCGGAAAAUUAAUCAAACAGUUGGUAUGCGUUAAAUAAAAUGAGUGUAGGGAAUAGAAAAAUCNCACGAGUAUUUUUAUACUGGUUCGAUUCAACAGAAUCUACGUCCAGUCGUUAAUCACUACAAAUAGUGAUUAACAGUUCCACUAAAAAUGGUUUAACAGAUUACAAUCAAAUUAACAGGAAAAGAACGAAAAGAACCACUCUACCAACUUGAAGAGAACCGCGCUGGCAAUCGACCAACGGUUCGUGAGCUUCUGCUUUCACAAGACUAGGCAGAGUAC